GGAUGUGAGGAUCAUCUAGCUACAACAUCUAUCACCCCACUAUGGCCAAGGCUGAUUCAGAUGAUCUGCCUCACUGAAGUGUCCCCUUCCUCCCUCACCACUCCUAAAGAAGUGCAAGAGGACAACCUUCCCCAAAUGGAGACCAGUCGAGGGUAUGUGAGUAGCUGCGCUCCCUUGCUAGAAACUCCAAACAAGUUCACAAGGUUCAUUUAAAGAAGUAAUAAGUAGGACCUGGGCAGUGGUGCACCUGACUGAGAACUCUCAUUACAAUGUGAGAGGACU
rnacentral:snRNA from 1 species